UGGCAUUUCAUGAAGGUCUUCUUGAAUCAUGUAAGAAAAAGUGGUGCGGAAGCUAUAAAGGUGUGUGAGCAAGAUCCUCCUAAGAGUGGUGUUGAUCUUGAAGGUGCAUGAUGUGUAUGAAGCUAGGGAGGUUCGGCCAACCCAAGGAGAGGUGAAGGAGAUGAAGUUUAGAGCCUAGAAUUCUAGGGAGAAGCAAAGCUUGGCACAAAAUGGCAGCAUAACUUUAC
rnacentral:lncRNA from 1 species